CCCUUUCUCCUCCGCGCGCUGCCGCCGCCGGGCUGCGCCGUGCCACCGGGGCCACCGCCUCCACCGCCUGGGCCGCCGCCUGUCUCUGCCGCGCGAGGAAGAAAAGAGGGAGAGAGAGGAGGGAGAGGGAGCAAAGAGGAUGACACGUGGGACCCAGUUGUCAUAGACUCAGAAUAAAAAAGAUAGAGAGACUAUUAAAAAGUAAAAAACGAAUUUAAAUGGCUAAAUAAAAUGAUGAGGAGCUAAAUAGAUAUUUGGAGAGUCUAAUUUAAAUUAUCUGUUGG
rnacentral:lncRNA from 1 species